UACGUAGGGGGCAAGCGUUGUCCGGAAUCAUUGGGCGUAAAGCGCGUGUAGGCGGCCCGGUAAGUCCGCUGUGAAAGUCCAGGGCUCAACCCUGGGAUGCCGGUGGAUACUGUCGGGCUCGAGUCCGGAAGAGGCGAGUGGAAUUCCCGGUGUAGCGGUGAAAUGCGCAGAUAUCGGGAGGAACACCAAUGGCGAAGGCAGCUCGCUGGACGGUACUGACGCUGAGGCGCGAAAGCGUGGGGAGCAA
rnacentral:rRNA from 1 species